rnacentral:rRNA from 1 species
GGUUUGACGGUACCUAUAAAGGAAGCACCGGCUAACUCCGUGCCAGCAGCCGCGGUAAUACGGGGGGUGCAAGCGUUGUUCGGAAUUGUUGGGCGUAAAGCGCGUGUAGGCGGUCUGAUUAGUCUGAUGUGAAAGCCCUGGGCUCAACCCAGGAAGUGCAUUGGAUACUGUCAAACUUGAAUACGGGAGAGGGUAGUGGAAUUCCCAGUGUAGGAGUGAAAUCCGUAGAUAUUAGGAGGAACACCGGUGGCGAAGGCGGCUACCUGGACCGAUAUUGACGCUGAGACGCGAAAGCGUGGGUAGCAAACAGGAUUAGAUACCCUGGUAGUCCACGCCGUAAACGAUGAGAACUAGGUGUCGCGGGUA